rnacentral:lncRNA from 1 species
GUGCAGCAUCUCCCCUCCACGACCUCACACAUGACUCAAGUUCAGACAAAAUAAACAUUUCUUGAAAGCAUUGUUUACUAAUGGAGAAUGCAGUCAGAGGCUAUAAAGGUGCUGCAGAUGACAGUCCCCCCCCAGUUCUCUCUUUGCUGAAGCCAUGAGUGCACGUUUCAAUGCCCAACAGGUCGUAGAUCAGAUCUUUUUCAGAUAUCCAGGAGGAACAAGAGAAAAAUUAUUUAGAAAAGGAGGAGGUAUCUGAAGAAGAAGAAGAUGGGGAAGAAUACAACCCAGACCACGAUGCAUCAUCUUCAGAUGAAGAAGAAAUCCCCCCAAACUGAAAGACAUUUGUGUCAAAGAAUAGCACAAUAACAUGGUCCUUGUCACCAUAUGACAACCAGGGCAGGAUGGCAGCACAAAAUGUCAUAAGGAUGACCUUAGGGCCCACAAGACAUGCAGUUGACAAUUCCCAGGACAUCGCCUCAACAUUCUACAUGUUCAUCACACCAGCCAUCGAACAAUAUCAUCCUGGAGAUGACAUAUUUGGAUGGAUGAGAUUGACCUGCGUGUCUACAUAUGGAUGCUAAUCUUAGCGGGUGUGUAUAAGUCCUGAGGUGAGGCUACAUGUCGUCUCUGGGAUGCUGAGAGUGGAAGGGUGAUUUUCCAUGCCACUGAGUCUUCACACCUUCUCAAGAAUGCAACGAUUUGAUAACCGUGAGUCAAGACCUGCAAGACGUGCGAGAGACAAACUGGUGGCCAUAAGAGAGGUCUGGGAGAAGUGGGUGGAGUGUUUGCCAUACCUCUACAACCCUGGGCCUGAAGUAACAGUGGAUAAGCAACUGGUUCCAUUCAGAGAAGGUCGCUGUCCUUUCCGGCAGUAUAUGCCCAGCAAGCCAGCAAAGUAUGGCAUCAAGAUAUGGGUGGCCUAUGAAGCACAAUCCAGCUACGCGUGGAAGAUGCAAGUCUACACAGGAAAGCCGACCAGUGGAGGCCCGGUGAAGAACCAGGUGAUGCGGGUUGUGCUUGAUGUGACAGAUGGACUGAGCGGGCACAAGGUCACGUGUGAGAAUUUCUUCAUCUCUUAUGAACUCAGCCAGCAGCUCCUGAAGAAGAUCACCAUGGUUGGCACAGUUAGAAAGAACAACCCUGAGCUCCCCCCUGCACUCCUCGCAACAAGGGGGAGAGGCCUUCUCAUCAGUUUGCCUUCACCCCCACCACCACUCUAGUUUCUUACCUCCCAAAGAGGAACAAGAAUGUGGUCCUCCUGAGCACACUGCACAAAAC